UACGUAGGGGGCAAGCGUUGUCCGGAAUCAUUGGGCGUAAAGAGCGUGUAGGCGGUCCCGUAAGUCCGCUGUGAAAGUCAAGGGCUCAACCCUUGAAUGCCGGUGGAUACUGUGGGACUAGAGUCCGGAAGAGGCGAGUGGAAUUCCUGGUGGUAGCGGUGAAAUGCGCAGAUAUCAGGAGGAACACCGGUGGCGAAGGCGGAUCUCUGGGCCGUAACUGACGCUGAGGAGCGAAAGCAUGGGUAGCGAACAGG
rnacentral:rRNA from 1 species